UACGGGGGGGGCAAGCGUUGUUCGGAAUUACUGGGCGUAAAGGGCUCGUAGGCGGCCAACUAAGUCAGACGUGAAAUCCCUCGGCUUAACCGGGGAACUGCAUCUGAUACUGGAUGGCUUGAGUUCGGGAGAGGGAUGCGGAAUUCCAGGUGUAGCGGUGAAAUGUGUAGAGAUCGGGAGGAACACCGGUGGCGAAGGCGGGACUCUGGGCCUACCCUGACGCUGAGGCGCGAAGGCGUGGGGAGCAAACGGG
rnacentral:rRNA from 1 species